rnacentral:lncRNA from 1 species
AUCUUUUCUUACUUAAAGGUUGAUAUUCUUCAUCAUCAUCUUUAUAAUCUUCAACAUCUUCAUUGCUAGUCCUUGGAAUUUGCAAGGCCUUCUUUUUCAUCUUCUUUGCCUCUUCAUCUUCAUUAUUGGUCCUUGGAAUUUCUAAGGUCUUCAUUUUCAUCUUCUUUGCCUCUUCAUCUUCAUUCACACGUUUAUCAUCUAUAUUUUCUUUAUCUUCUUCUUUUCUUACUGGAAUUAGAAAU